CCUACGGUGUGCUGCAGUGAGGAAUAUUGGUCAAUGGACGAGAGUCUGAACCAGCCAAGUAGCGUGAAGGAUGACUGCCCUAUGGGUUGUAAACUUCUUUUAUAUGGGAAUAAAAUGUUCCACGUGUGGGUUUUUGUAUGUACCAUAUGAAUAAGGAUCGGCUAACUCCGUGCCAGCAGCCGCGGUAAUACGGAGGAUCCGAGCGUUAUCCGGAUUUAUUGGGUUUAAAGGGAGCGUAGGUGGGUUGUUAAGUCAGUUGUGAAAGUUUGCGGCUCAACCGUAAAAUUGCAGUUGAAACUGGCAGUCGUGAGUACAGUAGAGGUGGGCGGAAUUCGUGGUGUAGCGGUGAAAUGCUUAGAUAUCACGAAGAACCCCGAUUGCGAAGGCAGCUCACUGGACUGCAACUGACAUUGAGGCUCGAAAGUGUGGGUAUCAAACAGGAUUAGAUACCCGGGUAGUC
rnacentral:rRNA from 1 species